rnacentral:rRNA from 1 species
AUUGAACGCUGGCGGCAGGCCUAACACAUGCAAGUCGAACGAGUGGCGUACGGGUGAGUAAUGUCUGGGAAACUGCCUGAUGGAGGGGGAUACCUACUGGAAACGGUAGCUAAUACCGCAUACCAUCGGAUGUGCCCAGAUGGGAUGAGCUACUAGGUGGGGUAAAGGCUCACCUAGGGGAUGAUCCCUAGCUGGUCUGAGAGGAUGACGAGACACACUGGAACUGAGACACGGUCCAGACGCCUACGGGAGGCAGCAGGGGGGAAUAGUGAACAAUGGGAGCAAGCCUGAUGCAGCCAUGCCGCGUGUAUGAAGAAGGCCUUCGGGUUGUAAAGUACUUUCAGCGGGGAGGCGUUACCCGCAGAAGAAGCACCGGAUAACUCCGUGCCAGCCGCCGCGGUAAUAC